rnacentral:lncRNA from 1 species
AUUCACAACGGCGUAAUUUUCUCGUACGACCUAAGCAAUUUAAAUACUUAUCUAAAGCUUAAAAUUUGAAACUGGCGCUCAUCAGUGACGUUUCUAACCUCACGGUCAUGACGUCAUGACGUUGCGUUGGCGUAUUUUUAAAACAUUUCUCUGGAAUUGGUGCAUUCUCCGCGUUUGAUUGGCGUAUUAUAUGACUAAACGUGCGUCCCGUGCGUAUUUUAUAAAAUUUACACGCGUUCCAUUGGGCGUAUUAUAUCGCUGGGAGGGGCGUUCCAUUGCGUUCCAUAACGCGUAUUAUCUGAAUUCUCACCGCGGAAGCCCUGCUUGCCUGAUUCCUGCUGCACACUACACACACACUUCCUUUGGCUUUCUCAACAGCAGUUGCUGCUGAGUAAAACGGUUAGAAAAAAACACUUCACAUUACCAGUUUAUGUACCCGAAGACUGACGAAGAUUGAAAUAAAAAUGGGAAACUUUUCACACUAAUAAACUCUUCAAAACUGCAGGGCGACCACGAGGAUACGAGGAUCUGGAAACUUCUAUGAGCACUGAGUGAUAAGCCUAAAUAGCUGGUGCAUGGAAAUAUAAACAGGCGGAUCCGAUCGUCGGUUUAGUUCACUACACCCUCUGGCAGGCAGCGCUGAUGUCAGCCCUAACUGGAGUUGGGAGUCCUUAUUUAUUCUCUUGGUCCAUGACACUAAACCGAAAGUAAACAACCGUCAACCGUCAACUUAUUAUUGUUAGCCAAAUUGUUAUUAGCUGACGGCUGACGACACCUCUACUCCAACUCAGCUUAUCUUAUUGCAAUACAAGUUGAAUACAAGUCAAGCAACACAGUUAUGAAACUGGAAAGAGGUAUCAUACUCGACAAACUCAGUCGCACGAUGCGAACUUUUCAAUUUUUAGAAUUGAAGGAACUGAGCAGUGCCCUUUGUCCUGAGCUACUCUCUGUCUCUGACAUAUUGAAUAAACUGAAAAAAGCAAAGCAAAAACUAUCUGCAAAAGCGUUUAGAGAAAUGGCCUUAUUGAAUUUUAUGGAAUUAGCAAAUGAAGAACUUCUACGGCUCAGCCAUUGCUUGCAAUUAUUCGAUAAAGCCUACCAUGGCGGAAAGACAAACUGGGCUUGCAUCGAGCUUCUAGAAAGAAUCAAUAACCGAUUUAAUUCAAGAUCAACUAUUGAUGAAGUAUCUGAAGCAAUUUUGCAGAAUAUUCGUAUCAACAAAGAAAAUGCUUUUGUAGAAGUCAUACAGCACACGAACGGAAUUUUUUACAUUUUGAUUCAGGAGAAGAAAAUAAUCCAAGGAAAAGGUGUAUCUCUUAGAAGUCCAGUUUACUGUGCAUGUGACCUGGAUGAGCCAUAUUUAUUUGUGUCGCCCAAAGGGGCUGUACAUAAUCAUAUUUUACUGAGAGUUGCACCAAGUUUAGGGUAUGGAGACUCUCAAGUAUGUCAGUUGGAAGGCAAGAACAUCCUAUCUUUAACUCAAAUUCUGAAAAGGCGUUUCAAUCAUCAUACUGUAGAAGAGUUUAAUCCUGUGGAUAUUAUUCGAACAUCAGAUGGGCUUAACUAUUGCCUAGAUGAGGAAAGAAAAAAAUUUGCAGCAAAGGUGUUUGGAGGAGAGGAACCAGUUGAACUACAAACCUUAUCUGUUACGGCAUCAGUUCCUUUUCGUGGAUUAAGAGUGGUUCCAGAUGCAGAAGGAAAUAUGUUUAAAUCAUCUUUAAAAAUCUCUGCUCCUAACAUUGCUGAGUUUGUCAAGGAUUUAGCUAAGCAUAGGGUUGUCCACAUGCCUCUACCCCCAUGGCUUAGUAAAGUUUCACACUUAGGCAAAAAUAAUUUUGUUAUUUCAGAAAAAAUUAAGUAAUUAGGCAAGUAAAUUUUUUCUUCUUCUCAAUGUGCUUUUCUUUGUUCCAAAGAAAUUGAAGUCCUUUCCUUUAUCAGUGCAGUGGGCUGACAAUUGAAAUUGACAG